GCACGUAAACUUUGAUCCGAAGAUUUCCGAAUGAGGAAACUCACUUAGAGUAAUGUCUAAGUAUCAUUAAGUGAAUACAUAGCUUAAUGAGGGGAACUCAGGGAACUGAAACAUCUAAGUACCUUGAAGGAAGAGAAAGAAAUUCGAUUCCGUAAGUAGCGGCGAGCGAACGCGGAUUAGCCCAAACCAAUAAAGUUUUCUUUAUUGGGGUUGCGGACAUAUCAUAACGAAGAGGUAUCGUAAUUGAAGAGGUUUGGAAAGACCCACCACAGAAGGUAAUAGUCCUGUAUGUUAAACGAGAAGACUUUAGAUAUGAUCCAGAGUACCACGGGACACGUGAAACCCUGUGGGAAGCAGGAGGGACCACCCUCCAAGGCUAAAUACUACCUAGUGACCGAUAGCGUAUAGUACCGUGAGGGAAAGGUGAAAAGAACCCCGGGAGGGGAGUGAAAUAGAACCUGAAACCCUGCACUUACAAGCUGUGGAAGCACAUUUCUUGUGUGACCGCGUACUUUUUGUAGAACGGGCCAACGAGUUACGUUAAGUAGCAAGGUUAAGCACUUAAGGUGCGGAGCCGUAGCGAAAGCGAGUUUUAACUGAGCGUUCAGUUACUUGACGUAGACCCGAAACCGGGCGACCUACCCAUGAGCAGGAUGAAGCGAAAGUAAAAUUUCGUGGAGGUCCGAACCCACGAGCGUUGAAAAGCUCGGGGAUGACUUGUGGGUAGCGGUGAAAUUCCAAUCGAGCCCGGAGAUAGCUGGUUCUCCCCGAAAUAGCUUUAGGGCUAGCCUCAAGGUGAGAGAUACGGAGGUAGAGCACUGAAUGUCCUAGGGGUAUUGCACCUACCGAAGACUAUCAAACUCCGAAUGCCGUCAUCUUAUACUUGGGAGUCAGACUGUGGGUGAUAAGAUUCAUAGUCGAAAGGGCAACAGCCCAGAUCGUCAGCUAAGGUCCCUAAAUGUAAGUUAAGUGGUAAAGGAUGUGGGAUUGCACAGACAACCAGGAUGUUGGCUUAGAAGCAGCCACUCAUUCAAAGAGUGCGUAAUAGCUCACUGGUCGAGUGAUCCUGCGCCGAAGAUUUCCGGGGCUAAAACUUACUACCGAAGCUACGGCAUCAGUAAUGAUGGGUAGGGGAGCUUCCCAUACGGGUUGAAGCAUGACCGUAAGGACAUGUGGACAGUAUGGGAGUGAGAAUGUUGGCAUGAGUAGCGAGAUGUGGGUGAGAAUCCCACAGGCCGUAAACCCAAGGUUUCCAGGGGAAGGUUCGUCCGCCCUGGGUUAGUCGGGACCUAAGCUGAGGCCGAAAGGCGUAGGUGAUGGACAACAGGUUGAUAUUCCUGUACUACCGAUAACCGUUUGAGAGAAGGGAUGACACAGUAGGAUAAGCUAAGCACACUGUUGGUUAUGUGUGCCCAAGCAUUGAGGCAGUCAAAGUAGGCAAAUCCGCUUUGAUAAUGCUGGGAUGUGAUGGGGAGCGAAAUUUAGUAGCGAAGUAGCUGAUUUCACACUGUCAAGAAAAGUCUCUAUCGAGGUUAAAGGUACCCGUACCGCAAACCGACACAGGUGGGUGAGGAGAGUAUCCUAAGGCCAGCGAGAGAACUGUUGUUAAGGAACUCGGCAAAAUGACCCCGUAACUUAGGGAUAAGGGGUGCCACCAUCAGGUGGCCGCAGAGAAUAGGCCCAAGCGACUGUUUACCAAAACAUAGGUUUCUGCUAAGUCGCAAGACGAUGUAUAGGAGCUGACGCCUGCCCGGUGCUGGAAGGUUAAGGGGAUCUGUUAGAGCAAUCGAAGCAGUGAACUUAAGCCCCAGUAAACGGCGGCCGUAACUAUAACGGUCCUAAGGUAGCGAAAUUCCUUGUCGGGUAAGUUCCGACCCGCACGAAAGGCGUAACGAUUUGGGCACUGUCUCAACAACAGACUCGGUGAAAUUGUAAUUCCGGUGAAGAUGCCGGAUACCUGCGACAGGACGGAAAGACCCCAUGGAGCUUUACUGUAGCUUGACAUUGGGUCUUGGUACUACAUGUACAGGAUAGGUGGGAGGCUUUGAAACCAGGACGCCAGUUUUGGCGGAGCCAUCCUUGGGAUACCACCCUUGUAGUACUGGGACUCUAACCAUAGGCCAUGAAUCUGGUCUUGGGACACUGUCAGGUGGGCAGUUUGACUGGGGCGGUCGCCUCCCAAAAGGUAACGGAG
rnacentral:rRNA from 1 species